CUGAAGCCAUACUGACAACCCAAAUGAAGUCUGUUGGUGAAUCCAUGGCAGUAGGUCGCACAUUCCAAGAAUCCUUCCAAAAAGCAGUACGGUCCCUGGAAUGUGGGUAUUCUGGAUGGGGCUGUGCACAGGUUAAGGAAAUGAACUGGGAUUGGGACAAGUUGAAGUAUAGUCUCCGGGUUCCGAAUCCUGAACGCAUCCAUGCCAUAUAUGCUGCAAUGAAGAGGGGGAUGAAGGUAGAUGACAUUCAUGAGCUCAGUUACAUAGACAAAUGGUUCCUCACUCAGCUAAGGGAGCUUGUAGAUGUGGAGCAAUUCCUUCUGGCUCACAGUUUGUCUGACUUAACAAAGGAUGACUUCUAUGAAGUGAAAAAGAGAGGGUUUAGUGACAGGCAGAUAGCUUUUGUGACGAAGUCCAGUGAGCAGGAGGUUCGGUUGAGGCGUUUGUCUCUGGGUGUGAAACCAGCAUAUAAACGAGUUGAUACAUGUGCUGCAGAAUUUGAGGCUGAUACACCUUAUAUGUAUUCAUCUUAUGACCUUGAGUGUGAAUCCGCUCCUACACAAAGGAAGAAAGUGUUAAUUUUAGGUGGAGGACCAAACCGAAUUGGACAGGGCAUUGAAUUUGAUUAUUGCUGCUGUCAUACAUCAUUUGCCCUUCAGGACGCAGGCUAUGAAACAAUUAUGAUGAAUUCCAAUCCCGAGACAGUUUCUACAGAUUACGACACAAGUGACCGUCUUUACUUUGAGCCUCUGACAGUUGAAGAUGUUAUUAAUAUCAUUGACUUGGAAGGACCUGAUGGUAUCAUUGUGCAGUUUGGAGGUCAAACACCAUUGAAAUUGGCUCUGCCUAUUCAGAAUUACUUGGAUGAGCGAAAGCCUAAGAGCAAAAGUGGAGCUGGCUUUGUUAGCAUUUGGGGUACAUCACCUGACAACAUUGAUGCAGCUGAAGAUAGGGAGAGGUUCAAUGCUAUCCUGAAUGAACUGCAGAUUGCUCAGCCAAAAGGGGGUAUUGCAAAGAGCGAAAAGGACGCCCUUGCCAUUGCGGCAGAAGUAGGAUACCCUGUUGUCGUCCGACCAUCUUAUGUCUUAGGUGGCCGGGCAAUGGAGAUAGUUUACAACAAUGAAAAAUUAGUGAGAUACCUUGAAAAUGCUGUUAAGGUAGACCCAGAGCGCCCUGUCCUCAUUGACAAGUAUUUAACUGAUGCUGUAGAGAUUGAUAUUGAUGCACUUGCUGAUUUGUAUGGUAAUGUGGUUAUUGGUGGAAUAAUGGAGCACAUUGAGCAGGCCGGGGUUCACUCAGGUGACUCAGCUUGCAUGCUUCCAACAAAAACAGUUUCAGAUUCAUGCUUGGAAACUAUUAGGUCGUGGACUACAAAAUUAGCUAAGAGGCUAAAUGUGUGUGGCCUCAUGAAUUGCCAAUAUGCCAUUACUACUACUGGUGAGGUUUUCUUGCUCGAGGCUAACCCCCGUGCAUCACGAACAGUUCCUUUUGUUUCCAAGGCGAUUGGGCACCCGUUGGCAAAAUAUGCUGCUCUAGUCAUGUCAGGAAAAUCCCUGUAUGACCUAAACUUCACCAAGGAGGUUAUCCCCAAACAUGUAUCAGUUAAAGAAGCUGUUCUUCCAUUCGAGAAAUUCCAAGGCUGUGAUGUGCUUCUUGGUCCUGAGAUGCGCAGCACUGGUGAGGUAAUGGGUAUCCACUAUGAGUCAUCAAUUGCAUAUGCCAAAGCACAAAUUGCCGCUGGACAGAAAAUGCCACUUUCAGGUACUCUGUUCCUCAGUUUAAAUGAAUUGACAAAACCCCAUCUUACUACAAUUGCUCGAGCCUUCGCGGAACUUGGAUUUCAAAUUAUUGCAACUUCCGGAACUGCUCGUGUACUCGAAUUAGAAGGCAUGCCAGUGGAGCAAGUGCUUAAAAUGCAUGAAGGGCGGCCACAUGCUGCUGAUCUCAUCGCCAAU
rnacentral:misc_RNA from 1 species